rnacentral:lncRNA from 1 species
GUUCCCUUGGCUCAGAGCCUUGCUUAGCCUUCCAACAGCAACAUGAAGUUGGCAGCCUUCCUCCUCCUUGUGAUCCUCAUCAUCUUCAGCCUAGAGGUACAAGAGCUUCAGGCUGCAGGAGACCGGCUUUUGGGUGAGUCCAGGCAGAAGGUAGCCCUGUUCAUUUUUCCUUGAAUGAGGGGGCCAGAAAGUAGGACAUCAGGGACCAGUGUGUGUGGGGAGGAGAGGGGAAGAAAGGAAAGAAGAAAAGGUCUUAAAAGGCCACUGCAGGGACCCUCCAACUGCCGCUACUCAGCUCCCCAGAGCAGAAUCUCUUUUCUUCUACCUCCACCUUCCCGCACUCCUUUCCCUGGGUCACCGCUCCAUUUGGACUCUCUGUACCUCCCCUCUUACCCCCUCAUCAGCCACCCUCUGACUCCUGCCAUCUCCCUCUCCAUAAGCUUCUUCCUCUCUUGCUACAAAUAAAUUGGAU